UAAGACUUGCAGGUCUCUAUCCUACAUCCUUUGAAUGCAACUCAAAAUCUUUUAUUAAGAUAAAGUCUU
rnacentral:tRNA from 1 species